UACGUAGGGUGCAAGCGUUAAUCGGAAUUACUGGGCGCAAAGCGUGCGCAGGCGGCUAUGCAAGACAGAUGUGAAAUCCCCGGGCUCAACCUGGGAACUGCAUUUGUGACUGCAUGGCUAGAGUACGGUAGAGGGGGAUGGAAUUCCGCGUGUAGCAGUGAAAUGCGUAGAUAUGCGGAGGAACACCGAUGGCGAAGGCAAUCCCCUGGACCUGUACUGACGCUUAUGCACGAAAGCGUGGGGAGCAAACAGG
rnacentral:rRNA from 1 species